UGUUAAAAAUUUCAUCCAUUUCUACUGUUAAAAAUUGGUUUGGCUGACAAAAUAACCAGAUAGUUACACUUGGUGUGUUAUGUGUACCUUAUGCUGGCGAACAAGGACCAGUUUUUAACAGUAAAAAAAGAUGAAAUUUUUAACA
rfam:Gossypium raimondii Chr13_contig_1324, whole genome shotgun sequence.